rnacentral:rRNA from 1 species
GACGAACGCUGGCGGCGUGCCUAAUACAUGCAAGUUGAGCGCUGAAGGUUGGUACUUGUACCAACUGGAUGAGCAGCGAACGGGUGAGUAACGCGUGGGGAAUCUGCCUUUGAGCGGGGGACAACAUUUGGAAACGAAUGCUAAUACCGCAUAAAAACUUUAAACACAAGUUUUAAGUUUGAAAGAUGCAAUUGCAUCACUCAAAGAUGAUCCCGCGUUGUAUUAGUUAGUUGGUGAGGUAAAGGCUCACCAAGGCGAUGAUACAUAGCCGACCUGAGAGGGUGAUCGGCCACAUUGGGACUGAGACACGGCCCAAACUCCUACGGGAGGCAGCAGUAGGGAAUCUUCGGCAAUGGACGAAAGUCUGACCGAGCAACGCCGCGUGAGUGAAGAAGGUUUUCUGAUCGUAAAACUCUGUUGGUAGAGAAGAACGUUGGUGAGAGUGGAAAGCUCAUCAAGUGACGGUAACUACCCAGAAAGGGACGGCUAACUACGUG